rnacentral:rRNA from 1 species
CAGUAGCCACGGUAAGACAGAGGAUGCAAGCGUUGUCCGGAAUUAUUGGGCGUAAAGGGCUCGCAGGCGGUUUCUUAAGUCUGAUGUGAAAGCCCCCGGCUCAACCGGGGAGGGUCAUUGGAAACUGGGAAACUUGAGUGCAGAAGAGGAGAGUGGAAUUCCACGUGUAGCGGUGAAAUGCGUAGAGAUGUGGAGGAACACCAGUGGCGAAGGCGACUCUCUGGUCUGUAACUGACGCUGAGGAGCGAAAGCGUGGGGAGCGAACAGGAUUAGAUACCCGCGUAGUCCCUGUCUCUUAUAC